rnacentral:rRNA from 1 species
CCUCGGCGUAAGCGUGGUUAUAUAUAAAAUAAAUUAAAGCCGAAUGCUCCCUAAGCUGUUAUACGCUCUCGAGAGUUAGAAGACCCUUAACGAAAGUAGCUUUAUAAUGUUGAAUCCACGAAAGCUAAGACA